UGGGGAAUAUUGCACAAUGGGCGCAAGCCUGAUGCAGCCAUGCCGCGUGUGUGAAGAAGGCCUUCGGGUUGUAAAGCACUUUCAGCGGGGAGGAAGGCGAUAAGGUUAAUAACCUCAUCGAUCGACGUUACCCGCAGAAGAAGCACCGGCUAACACCGUGCCAGCAGCCGCGGUAAUACGGAGGGUGCAAGCGUUAAUCGGAAUUACUGGGCGUAAAGCGCACGCAGGCGGUCUAUCAAGUCGGAUGUGAAAUCCCCGGGCUCAACCUGGGAACUGCAUUCGAAACUGGGAGGCUAGAGUCUUGUAGAGGGGGGUAGAAUUCCAGGUGUAGCGGUGAAAUGCGUAGAGAUCUGGAGGAAUACCGGUGGCGAAAGCGGCCCCCUGGGCAAAGACUGACGCUCAGGUGCGAAAGCGUGGGGAGCAAACAGG
rnacentral:rRNA from 1 species